GAUGAACGCUGGCGGCGUGCCUAAUACAUGCAAGUCGAGCGAACGGACGAGAAGCUUGCUUCUCUGAUGUUAGCGGCGGACGGGUGAGUAACACGUGGAUAACCUACCUAUAAGACUGGGAUAACUUCGGGAAACCGUAGCUAAUACCGGAUAAUAUUUUGAACCGCAUGGUUCAAAAGUGAAAGACGGUCUUGCUGUCACUUAUAGAUGGAUCCGCGCUGCAUUAGCUAGUUGGUAAGGUAACGGCUUACCAAGGCAACGAUGCAUAGCCGACCUGAGAGGAUGAUCGGCCACACUAGAACGGAGACACGGUCCAGACUCCUACGGGACGCAGCAGUAGGGAAUCUUCCGCAAUGGGCGAAAGCCUGACGGAGCAACGCCGCGUGAGUGAUGAAGGUCUUCGGAUCGUAAAACUCUGUUAUUAGGGAAGAACAUAUGUGUAAGUAACUGUGCACAUCUUGACGGUACCUAAUCAGAAAGCCACGGCUAACUACGUG
rnacentral:rRNA from 1 species